UGAAGGACAUUGUCUGCAUCUGGAAGCAAAGGAAUCUGUUGUUAAUGCUCUUCUUCUGGCUACUAAAAGAUUCUGUUCAGGCCCGUCCCAGCUCUUAACACAAAUUUGUCUGGCUCUAUCGACACUCAUACUUCAUGCUGUGGAGUACUACAAACCAAUUAAGAAGCUAUUCUACAGUCUUCAGAAUCUUCAAGGUCCGGAUGAUGGCAAUAUUGUAGUUUUGGAAAUGCUCACAGUCUUGCCAGAAGUUGUUGAAGAUGAAAGUGCUAAUUAUAAAACCAAAUCUGGU